UACGAAGGGGGGCUAGCGUUGCUCGGAAUCACUGGGCGUAAAGCGCACGUAGGCGGCGUCUUAAGUCAGUGGUGAAAUCCUGGAGCUCAACUCCAGAACUGCCUCUGAUACUGAGAUGCUUGAGUCCGGGAGAGGUGAGUGGAACUGCGAGUGUAGAGGUGAAAAUUCGUAGAUAUUCGCAAGAACACCAGUGGCGAAGGCGGCUCACUGGCCCGAUACUGACGCUGAGGCACGAAAAGCGUGGGGAGCAAACAGGG
rnacentral:rRNA from 1 species